GCCGGGCGUGGUGGCGGGCGCCUGUAAUCCCAGCUACUUGGGAGGCUGAGGCAGGAGAAUCGCUUGAACCCCGGAGAUGGAGGCUGCAGUGAGCCGAGAUUGCGCCACUGCACUCCAGCCUGGGUGACAGAGCAAGACUCUGUCUCAA
rfam:Nomascus leucogenys chromosome 17, whole genome shotgun sequence.